rnacentral:snRNA from 1 species
GUACUCGAUUUGACAGCACAUAUACUAAAGUUGGACCAAUACGGAGGUCAGCAUGGUCCCUGCUCAUGGNUGAUAGGCAAAUUCAUGAAGAGUUCCAUAUCUUU